CUCGUAGGCGGCCAACUAAGUCAGACGUGAAAUCCCCCGGCUUAACCGGGGAACUGCGUCUGAUACUGGAUGGCUUGAGUUUGGGAGAGGGAUGCGGAAUUCCAGGUGUAGCGGUGAAAUGCGUAGAUAUCUGGAGGAACACCGGUGGCGAAGGCGGCAUCCUGGACCAACACUGACGCUGAUGAGCGAAAGCCAGGGGAGCAAACG
rnacentral:rRNA from 1 species